CCUGGUGGUGGCGACGGUGGCAUCAUUGAAUUUUUCCCUCACCCUACUCACGGUAUUGGUUGCUGCAAAUGCCUGGCCCAAGAAAAUAUGCUAUGCUGCAGAAAAAAAAUCCCAAAUGGAAUUCUUAUUUGAAUGCGUUUUGUUUUGCCAGAGUCGGGGGAGAAUAUAUCUAUUAAAUUGGUUGGUUCCCAAGCCAAGGGUGGGUGUUGCCAACAUCUCCUUCUAACCUUCUAACCCGACAAGGCAGCCCCAAAUAAGGGUUCAAGGAUUCUUAUUGGAGGAUUGGGUUAGCUGGGGAGGAUGAAAAUGUUUCAUUAACUUUCCUUUUUUGGGGUGGAAAAAUUUUUGGCGCAAAUUUUCCUCUUCGCUGGCCAGCAAACAAACUCUUGCCAUGUGGUUGUUGUUGGUGUUGGGAAAAUUGCCAAGUUUUUCCUCGCAACGAAGGUUUCAUUAAUCCUUCAGCUACAACGAAUUUUCAGUCACAGUCUGACUGUGGUGGAGUGUGGUGUGGUGUUGCUUUUGGGCAAAAAGGAUACGAGAAGAAGGUGAAUUUUUUCUCUCCUGUGAUUUUAUCGGUGAUAUAAGCUCCAAGCUUAAAACAGAAUCUGAUAGCCAUUCUACCAAGUAGAAAUAUCGGAUAACAAAUAAAUAAGUCCACCUAGUGAAAGUUGUGCUGUAUAUAACUAACAGCGUCGUGUAGCACAGUAAGGGAAUAUGCGAGAAUUCCACAUUAAGGCGGGAGGCCUACUACCAAAGGAUUAUGGGAGAACUUGUAUGUUCUACUUGUUGGGCUAACACUGGAAAAAGGUGGAUUUUACAAUGUGCGGAGGAGAAGUUUUAAAACAAAUGUGAUAUUUGCUAAUAAAACUGUGAUCGGUCUUGAUGUGAUAAAAAAAGUUUAAAACUUUUAAAAUAUUUCUGCCUGUCGAUAAUGUUUUGAACAUCGGUGAAAUGUGAAGACUUGGACCGUUUAAACGGUUGCUGUGUAAAGAUGCCAGAAAGUGGAUGCCAUGGACUCAUCAUACACCAUAAAUUUUUGAUAUGCUCCAAGCAUAGUAAGUCCCAUAAUUGUGAUUAUGGGACUACAAAACGUGCCUUGCCAAAAAAACGGCAAUAUUUCAACCCAAAAUCAAAUUAAAACGAAAAACAUUAUAGCAACUAUU